GUGGGUAACCUGCCUGUAAGACUGGGAUAACUCCGGGAAACCGGGGCUAAUACCGGAUGGUUGUUUGAACCGCAUGGUUCAAACAUAAAAGGUGGCUUCGGCUACCACUUACAGAUGGACCCGCGGCGCAUUAGCUAGUUGGUGAGGUAACGGCUCACCAAGGCAACGAUGCGUAGCCGACCUGAGAGGGUGAUCGGCCACACUGGGACUGAGACACGGCCCAGACUCCUACGGGAGGCAGCAGUAGGGAAUCUUCCGCAAUGGACGAAAGUCUGACGGAGCAACGCCGCGUGAGUGAUGAAGGUUUUCGGAUCGUAAAGCUCUGUUGUUAGGGAAGAACAAGUACCGUUCGAAUAGGGCGGUACCUGACGGUACCUAAC
rnacentral:rRNA from 1 species